rnacentral:rRNA from 1 species
GAUGAACGCUGGCGGCGUGCCUAAUACAUGCAAGUCGAGCGAACAGACGAGGAGCUUGCUCCUCUGACGUUAGCGGCGGACGGGUGAGUAACACGUGGAUAACCUACCUAUAAGACUGGGAUAACUUCGGGAAACCGGAGCUAAUACCGGAUAAUAUAUUGAACCGCAUGGUUCAAUAGUGAAAGACGGUUUUGCUGUCACUUAUAGAUGGAUCCGCGCCGCAUUAGCUAGUUGGUAAGGUAACGGCUUACCAAGGCAACGAUGCGUAGCCGACCUGAGAGGGUGAGCGGCCACACUGGAACUGAGACACGGUCCAGACUGCUACGGGAGGCAGCAGUAGGGAAUCUUCCGAAAUGGGCGAAAGCCUGACGGAGAAACGCCGCGUGAGUGAUGAAGGUCUUCGGAUCGUAAAACUCUGUUAUUAGGGAAGAACAAAUGUGUAAGUAACUAUGCACGUCUUGACGGUACCUAAUCAGAAAGCCACGGCUAACUACG